rnacentral:lncRNA from 1 species
CACCUCCUUGAUCUAAUCGAAGAAUCUUUAUGGGUUUAUUUUUUCACUUCGUGUUUGAACUCUUUGAACUUUUCAAAAGCCUCAAACUUAUAGUGCAUCAAAUACAUAAACCCAUACCAUAAGUAGUUAUCAAUAAAGGUUAAAGUAGAUAUAGCCACCCCUGACCUGUACAUCAAAUGGACCACACAUGUCAGUAUGCACCAGGGCUAAUAUAUCAGUGGCCCUUUUUUCUUAUCUUACAAAGCAUAGCUUAGUCAUCUUUCCUUGAAGAUAGG